UCCCUCUUAGCUCAGUUGGUAGAGCGCGUCACUAGUAUAAUACAUCCUGAUGACGAGGUCAGUCGUUCAAAUCGGCUAGCGGGAA